UCUUUGAAAAAAAAAAUGGGAUGAGGGAUAGUUAACAGUUACUUGAUUUAACAAGAGAAAGAUUGGGAGAGGGGUUGAUGAAAGGUUUUCCAUUUUUCCUUUUUCUUUCCUCCUGACCUCUCACUUUUCUGCUUAUGCUUUUUUUUUUUUUCCUUUGUUUUCUUUGUUUUUCUUUUUCAAAUUUAUCCAAACCAUACCGAUUUAGUUUUCUUUCAAUUUUUUAAAGCUUCUCGGCGGCAUCCCAUUAUCACCACCGUGGUCAAAGUUUGAAUGGUGGAUUAUUCCUCAGGGAUUCCAACAAAAAAUUGGAUCUCAUUUCUAAGAACUGUCGCAGCGUCUUCUUCGCCUCUUACGACGAAUCCUCCGAUGCAUCAAUAAAACUGUGAAGGUUAUCAUUUGGAUCAACAAAAGUAGGAGUGAAAAAAGAUGGGCUUGAUGAUCUGCUUUCGUCUACAGAUGUAGAAAAGCAUGACUAUGAAUGACUGGUAGUAAACUUUUACUAUUAUUAGUAAUACUAAUAGUUAUUAUUGUUAGUAUAAUCACAGCUCUUUCAUUUGCAAAUAAUGUUUUGCUGAGUUCUUGAUUAGUUGGAAAUAAAUUGGUUGCAAAAGUAAGUGCUUUAGUUUUUUAACAUGUCUUGUUUUCUGUAAUUUUUUUUUUUCUUAAAGAAAAAUAUAAUGGUUUGAUUGGUCUCUAGUCUCAAAUAACGAGGAUGCCGACAAAGAUGAUAAAGGGCUUCCAAUCGCAUCACCGGAAGACGAAUUAAAACUUCAAUAACUCGCUUUGUUCUUAAAUCUCAAACUUCAAAAUUUUAAAAAAAUGGGAUGGUGUUUUAGUCUUUUAAAGAAUAGAACAUUGGAUUGAAAAAAGAGAUGGACAUCUUUGCUACUAUCGAUGAAAUGAAGUCCAUGAAGGUAUAUCAUCAGUUUUUUCUACAUAUGUGACUAUUAAUGUUCUCUGAACUUGCAUUUACAAUUUUUAAUUCUUUUAUUCAUUUAUUGAUUAUGUUAUUUGCAAUUCUUCAGCGUCCUGAUUACUGUUUCAAUUAUGCAUAGUGCAUAGCUUUUAAGAUGAGGGAUGGGGUUGUUGUGUCCAAUCCUUAAGAUUUCUUGGUAUAGGGUUUAAUUUUGUUUUUAACUGUAUAGAGGUAUUAGUAAAUAUUAAGUGUUUAAUCUGAAUUUUGGUAUAUGCUUAAUGCCCUUCAAACUUCAAAAAAAAAAAAAAAAAAACUGCAAGACAUAUGUUAUAAGAAGUGAUUUCCUAUAUAUGUAAUCUUUUGUGCAUUGGCAAUUAUGUUUUAAUUGUGUGGUUUAUUUUAAUGGUUUUGUUGAUAAAGAAAGGUAUUGACUGUUGUUCUGUUUUUCUUGGAAAAAUGAAGAGGAAUUUUUUAAAAUUUUCUUUUGGAGAGAGAAAUUUUUUUUUGCUUUAUGAAGUUUUAAAAUCAUCAGGUUUGAAUGCAUGCAUUAUUUGUAAAAGAUAUGACAAAAGAUCAAAUUCGUAGACUAUUUAAAAGAUAAUGAAACGAUUAUCCUGCCAAAGGUGUGCUUGAGAUAACUUUUUUCCUUUUUUUUCUUUUCAUUGUUGUGAAGAUUGAAUAUUUGAGUUAAAUUUGAACCGUUCUUUGUUUCUUGGUAUUCUAUUUAAUAAUCUUUUUAUAAGUUUAUGUAUAAAUGCCAAUCUCCAUUUGUGUUGUAUUUUUUUAUAAAUACUAAUGGAAUUGAAUUGUUUGUGAUGUUUUUGUUAUUUUCAUGAUGUUUAUCUUGUGAAAAAUAUGGUUGUCAAGGUAGCAUAUAGAGUUUUAAGUUGUGACUUAUUUCUUUUGAUUUGGCUUAUGUAUAAAUAUCAGUAAAAUCUAUUUUAGGAGUUUGAUAUGCAAUAAAUGGGAGCAUGUACAUUUGCCAAAAGGCAUUAUGGAGUUUCUAUUAGCUUCUGGAUUUUGUGGUGAGAUUAUUUACUGUUUAUUUAGUUUAAUUUGUAUAAAUUUUGUUUUGAAUAUUCCUUAAAUGACUACCAUAUUUCUAUGUAUUAUGUUCUGAUAAAACUUAUUUGUAAUUUAUGGUGCCAUCAAGAGAGGAUAUGAAAUGUGAGGAGUGAGAUAUAGCCUAGAUCCAUAGUCUAAAUAUGAUUGCCUUUUGUUUCGUAAGGUCUUCCACUUGAAAAUAAGAGCUUAAUGUAUGAGCUAAAGGCAGAGAAAGAUCUGCUGACCAUUUGCUUGAAUUUGUAAAUCUUGAUAAUAUCUUUUAUCCACUUAAAAAAUACUCACCUCUAAAAAGAAAAAAAGAAAAAAAAGACUGAAGAAAAUUAAAGCUGAUUGUUAUUGUUACAAAAAUGAAUUUCUUCUCUAGAUAUAUAUGCACUGGUUUUGGAUUGGCAUGUUGCUGUUAUAUAUAAAUUGUAAUGAAAAGAUAUUUAUAUAUAGUGCAUUUUAGUAAUUUAACUCGGGGAUGAUAAAGAUAAUUACAAUAUUUUGAAGUUAGUAGAUUAGGUUCAUUUAGACAAUAAGCUUAGUUUAAGUUUCACUUUCUACUAAAUUUUCCUCUCAUAUACAAAAGAAAUUCUUCUCACAACAUAAAAUGUUUUGUGGUUGGUGGUAACCUUUUUUGUUCAUAAUAGCGAGAUAUAAAGCCUAAGAACAAAGUAAUCCAAUCAUGAUAAAAAUCAAACUAUUCAUAGUUGAAUUAGUUGAAUUUCCAUCAUCAAUGAGGUUCACUCAUCUAAAUAUCUAUUGCUUUUACUGUUUCAUGCUUAUGUUCUCAUUUUCGCAGGUAGGAAAACAAGCAUUUGCAUUUCAAGAGUUGCAGCUACUUCAAAAUACCAGAAAAACUCUACUUUCUGAAGAGCUUAGGUGCUGAUUUGGCUAUUGAUUACACAAAGGAUAACUUUGAUGAUACACCAAAAAAAUUUGAUGUCGUUUAUGAUGCCAUUGAGAAGUGAAGUUUCCGAGGAUUGGUUUGCAUAUUUGACUGUUUUCCUUUUCAAUUACAAAGCAUUGUAACAGACCAAUGAAAGCAGCGAAAAAAGUUGGCAGUGUCGUAGCUCUAACUGGUGCUGUCACACCUUCUGGGUUAGAUUUGUGGUUACUUCCAAUGGCGAGGUUCUCAAGAAACUAAAUUCAUAUUUAGAGAUUGGCAGAGUGGAGCCGAUAGUUGAUCUGAAGGGUUCCAUUUGCUAGAGUUGCUGAGGCUUUCUCUUAUAUGGAAAACAAAUAAGGCUGAUGGAAAUAUAAUUAUACACCAAAUUCCGUAAGUCAAAUAGAACAAACAAAAAGAAAUAAUCAUUUUAUAUUGCAUGCUGCAGGUUUAUUUUAUUGUCUCUAAUUUAUUUAUUAUUGCAUGGCUGCUAUUCUAUUUCAUAUUACAUAUUAAAUAUAAAUACGUUAUAUUUAAGCUGUCCCAAUAGAUUUUACAGUUCAAAUUUUAGCGAGAUGGGAUAGGGCGUUAAGGAUGAUUUGAGGGGUAAUUUUGGUAGUGACUAUAUAUUUUUUAGGUUAAAUUUGAUUUUUUUUUUCAUAAAUUUGGGGUUAAUUAACUCAUGAUAAGGCUAAAACUUCUUUGUUUGGUAUUUAUGUAGAAAAUCUAUAAAAUAUAUUAAAGUUAUCCCAAGAGAAAUUGAAACUUAAUUUUUAGCCACCUAUGUUUUGUAAUAAAUAAUGAUUUGAUGGAUGAAUUUGGAUUAAGCGGGAUAUUUAGUCAUAAUUUAAGGGUUGGUUUUAAAAUUUCAAGCAACUCUAAAUGGGAUCUAUAAGGCUUUGACUAAUGUUUUUGGGAUUAAUUUAAGAUAUUAACUUAUGUUUUGAGAGUUUAAGUUAGUAAACAUUAAAUUUGAGUUAUUAUAUUAUUUUUAAUCAAGUUCUCAAUUAAAAAAUAAAAUAGUUAAGCGUUUAAUCAAAUUAAGCCUUUUUGGAAGUUUGUUUUUUUUUUUUUUUAAGGAAGUCACAAAAUCAAACAAAUAUCUAUACAUAAUAUACAAGUAAUCAACCGAAUGACACAGUUGAAAGAAUUUUCAAUUAAUUUUUUAAAUCUAUCAUAUAUUUAAAGUUGGUUGCAUGUUAGAAUGUGAGGUUGAAAAUUUUUAAUUUAUAUGAGGUGAUUUGUACAUUUACGACUUUUAGGUUCAAAUGUUGGGCUUAUUUAUGUAAGCUGAAAACCCAAAUCCAAAUUCAAUAAGUGAUUUUUUUUUUA